rnacentral:rRNA from 1 species
GUGGGGAAUUUUGGACAAUGGGCGCAAGCCUGAUCCAGCAAUGCCGCGUGCAGGAAGAAGGCCUUCGGGUUGUAAACUGCUUUUGUACGGAACGAAACGGUCCGGGUUAAUACCCUGGGCUAAUGACGGUACCGUAAGAAUAAGCACCGGCUAACUACGUGCCAGCAGCCGCGGUAAUACGUAGGGUGCAAGCGUUAAUCGGAAUUACUGGGCGUAAAGCGUGCGCAGGCGGUUUUGUAAGACAGGCGUGAAAUGCCCGGGCUCAACCUGGGAAUUGCGCUUGUGACUGCAAGGCUGGAGUGCGGCAGAGGGGGAUGGAAUUCCGCGUGUAGCAGUGAAAUGCGUAGAUAUGCGGAGGAACACCGAUGGCGAAGGCAAUCCCCUGGGCCUGCACUGACGCUCAUGCACGAAAGCGUGGGGAGCAAACAGGAUUAGAAACCCGGGUAGUCC